GAUGAACGCUAGCGGCAGGCUAACACAUGCAAGUCGAGGGAGAGGUUAUCUCCGGGUAACCAAAACCGGCGCACGGGUGCGUAACGCGUAUACAAUCUGGCCUUUUCACAUAGGGAUAGCCCGAAGAAAUUUGGAUUAAUACCUAAGGGAAUAUAAGAGCGGCAUCGUUUUUUAUUUUAAAGCUACGGGUGGUGAAAGAUGAGUUAUGCGUUUCUAUUAGCUAGUGGGAGAAGUAACGGCUUCCCCAAGGCGACGAAUAGAUAGGGGGUUCUGAGAAGGGAUGUCCCCCCACACUGGUACUGAGAUACGGACCAAAUUCCCUACGGGAGGCAGGAGUGAGGAAUUUUUGGCCAAUGGGUCGGGAGAAUGAUCCAGCCAUGCCGCGUGCGGGAUGAAGGGCCUAUGAAUUUGUAAACUGCUUUUUGUAGGAAAGAAAUAAGGGUCCGUGGGCCUUU
rnacentral:rRNA from 1 species